GCAGUAGGAGGGACAAGGAGACAAUGGUUCCACAUCGACAAAACAUCGAACAACCCUUCAGAGGGCUUGUGGGAAGAAUCUAAAGUGAUUGCUUUUUUACAAUCACAAUUUGAUGUUUCUUUUACGCCUCUGGCGCGUUGGACGCCUUUAACGGGUCUCCCGCCAAAAAGUGUCGAGGAGGUUGACAUUGAAGAACUGGUUGCAAAAGAGGAUGAAGACGAGGAAGCUUUUUUACUACAAAAGAGUGCCAUCAUUGAAGAAUUGUGCCGGGACAACAUUGUCGAAAAAGACGCCGAAUGUCCCGCCAUUGAAGAGCUACUCACCAAUGACGUUCCAGCGGAGGCUGAAGGCUUGCUCGCGGUGAAAGAAGAGGGGUUUUUCCCACAAAAUACUCUCCACACCGAAGACUUGCUCGAGGACAACAUUAUCGAAAAAGACGACAAAAGUCCUACACCUAU